ACUCAAGCCAAAGCUCUUCCAUUCACAAAAAGACAAACUUAACGGCUAGUUUCUCCAACGGCUAUAAACGGCUAGUUUGUCCAACGGCCAUAAACGGCUAGUUUUUCCAACGGCCAUAAACGGCUAGUUUUUCCAACGGCCAUAAACGGCUAGUUUGUCCAACGUCCAUUUUUAGCACGAUACCCUUGCCGUUGAGCGUCACUAUUCACGUGAAUAGUGUUACUAUUCAUGUGAAUAGUUCUACUUUAAAAUUAAGUCCUAUACAUUAAACCACAAUUAUUACAAAAGCUUUUCAUUGCAAAACAAUUCUUCAAAGGAUCUUUCUCGAGUCUUCAUUUCUUUUGACUUGAUUUGGACAUCAUCAAAACUUCAUCUUCAUCAUUUUGCUAACAAA
rnacentral:lncRNA from 1 species